rnacentral:rRNA from 1 species
CGCUGGCGGCAUGCCUAACACAUGCAAGUCGAACGGAGAUAAGAGAGCUUGCUCUCUUAACUUAGUGGCGGACGGGUGAGUAACGCGUGAGCAACCUGCCUUACAGAGGGGGACAACAUUGGGAAACCGAUGCUAAUACCGCAUAAAGUUAUCUGAUCGCAUGGUCGGAUAACCAAAGAUUUAUCGCUGUAAGAUGGGCUCGCGUCCGAUUAGCUAGUUGGUGAGGUAAAGGCUCACCAAGGCGACGAUCGGUAGCCGGACUGAGAGGUUGAACGGCCACGUUGGGACUGAGAUACGGCCCAGACUCCUACGGGAGGCAGCAGUGGGGGAUAUUGCACAAUGGGCGAAAGCCUGAUGCAGCAAUGCCGCGUGAGGGAAGAAGGUCUUCGGAUUGUAAACCUCUGUUUUUAGUGACGAAACAAAUGACGGUAACUAAAGAGGAAGCUCCGGCUAACUACGUGCCAGCAGCCGCGGUAAUACGUAGGGAGCGAGCGUUGUCCGGAUUUACUGGGUGUAAAGGGUGCGCAGGCGGGACUGCAAGUUGGAUGUGAAAUACCGGGGCUUAACCCCGGGGCUGCAUCCAAAACUGUGGUUCUUGAGUGAAGUAGAGGUAGGCGGAAUUCCGAGUGUAGCGGUGAAAUGCGUAGAUAUUCGGAGGAACACCAGUGGCGAAGGCGGCCUACUGGGCUUUAACUGACGCUGAGGCACGAAAGCAUGGGGAGCAAACAGGAUUAGAUACCCUGGUAGUCCAUGCCGUAAACGAUGAUUGCUAGGUGUGGGGGGACUGACCCCUUCCGUGCCGGAGUAAACACAAUAAGC